rnacentral:rRNA from 1 species
AGUGAAGCGGCAAAAGCUCAAAUUUGAAAUCUGGCGCCUUCGGUGUCCGAGUUGUAAUUUGAAGAUUGUAACCUUGGGGUUGGCUCUUGUCUAUGUUUCUUGGAACAGGACGUCACAGAGGGUGAGAAUCCCGUGCGAUGAGAUGCCCAAUUCUAUGUAAGGUGCUUUCGAAGAGUCGAGUUGUUUGGGAAUGCAGCUCUAAGUGGGUGGUAAAUUCCAUCUAAAGCUAAAUAUUGGCGAGAGACCGAUAGCGAACAAGUACAGUGAUGGAAAGAUGAAAAGAACUUUGAAAAGAGAGUGAAAAAGUACGUGAAAUUGUUGAAAGGGAAGGGUUUGAGAUCAGACUCGAUAUUUUGUGAGCCUUGCCUUCGUGGCGGGGUGACCCGCAGCUUAUCGGGCCAGCAUCGGUUUGGGCGGUAGGAUAAUGGCGUAGGAAUGUGAC